rnacentral:rRNA from 1 species
GCAUGCGGGUGGUUCAUUAAGUCAGAUGUGAAAGCCCGGGGCUCAACCUCGGAACUGCAUUUGAAACUGGUGAACUAGAGUACUGUAGAGGGGGGUAGAAUUUCAGGUGUAGCGGUGAAAUGCGUAGAGAUCUGAAGGAAUACCAGUGGCGAAGGCGGCCCCCUGGACAGAUACUGACACUCAGAUGCGAAAGCGUGGGGAGCAAACAGGAUUAGAUACCCUGGUAGUCCACGCCGUAAACGAUGUCUACUUGGAGGUUGUGGCCUUGAGCCGUGGCUUUCGGAGCUAACGCGUUAAGUAGACCGCCUGGGGAGUACGGUCGCAAGAUUAAAACUCAAAUGAAUUGACGGGGGCCCGCACAAGCGGUGGAGCAUGUGGUUUAAUUCGAUGCAACGCGAAGAACCUUACCUACUCUUGACAUCCAGAGAAGCCAGCGGAGACCCAGGUGUGCCUUCGGGAACUCUGAGACAGGUGCUGCAUGGCUGUCGUCAGCUCGUGUUGUGAAAUGUUGGGUUAAGUCCCGCAACGAGCGCAACCCUUAUCCUUGUUUGCCAACGAGUCAUGUCGGGAACUCCAGGGAGACUGCCCGGUGAUAAACCGGAAGGAAGGUGG